rnacentral:lncRNA from 1 species
ACUUUUUCCUGUCUCAUCUCGUUGGUCUUCCUGUCUUUUGAGACCUGUUAUUCUACAAUUAUUCACUUUUCCACAGGGCAGGCUCCUCAGCCUCUUUUACUCCUUUUGCUCCAUGGACUAACCCCCCCUCCCCCCUCCCCUUUUUCUUUCUCUUUCUUUACAGAUGGGUUAGGUUGUUUUUGUAUAGCCUUGCAGCUGUUAAUAUUUCUCUUCAUGGGAAAUUUCUCUGGCUUUUUUUCAGUCUCAUGUUGUUUUUGUGUCAUUUAUUUCACAGUUUUGCCUAUCUCCUCAGUUGUAAUUGUCAUUCCAUCGGGGUUCUGUCUAAGAAAGCAGAACCAUCUGGGGAAAUCAGCAUUGCUUCUCUCAGUCUCAGCUGGAAUUAAAAUGAUGUGAUGUGAAGAUGAAGAAGGAAAAAAAAAUCCCAAAUACCUUGUCAUGGGAAUUAAAUGGGGCUGUUGACCAGCAUCUGUAGUUCAGUAUGAGAAAGAAAUUUUAUUUAAAUACUGUAAUGUACACUAACAUUACAAAACAAAACAAACAAACAAAACACAGAAAUGGCUUCUGUUUUUAUAGAGAAGACAGGCAGUCCUGAAAUUGUGGUGCAUGUGUACUCUAAUGAAAGCCAACGAAUCAUUCCUGCUUAUAAAGAUGACAGGAUGAGCUCAACAUGUGUUAAAAUCAGUGAAAAAUAUUAAUUCUCAUUCCUAAAAUAUGACCUCAUAUCCCCAAGAUUGCAGAGAUGAAGGAUAUGCAGUAAAUUAGCCCAACAGCCUUUUACCUCUAGGUCUGAACCCUUAGAUCACCAGCUGAAAUGAAUCUCUGUCUUUAUCUGAAGCAUGUCUUCUCUGAAUAUUUAUUGACAUCACAAAAUAGCUUUGGCAUCUGGCACAAUUUGACAUGAUUAAUUGUCAUUGUUCAAAGAGACGACAGAAACAGAGCUGAGCUCUGUUGUGUUGUCUGGGAGUCUGCACAGUGACUGCUAAACUCAUGUUGCUGCUGUCAGGCCUACACUUUCAAAAACAUGCAGGAAGCUAAUAAUAACAAAAAAAAGUUUAUGUAUAUGUGGGCGAGAGAGAAGGAUAAUAAAUAAACAUGUUAGCAAGCCA